AAGAGACGGCGUGGAACCAAACUAAAGGUCCGGCGGGCCGAGGAAGCGAGGGGCGGCCGAGACGCUCAGUCCACCGUUUCGGAUGCUCGAGACCUCGGAAUUUGCGCCACCGUAGGUGGAGGUUUAUCAACGGCGAUAGACCGUAGGAAAAAGCUCGGUAGAUUUUGUAAAUUAGUUCACCUUUCCCCCUAGCCAUUUGACGCUACUGAAUCUACAGUACUAACUGUGGAAUGAAGCAGGCCCCGGUGAAUGCCUGAGCCGUGCCGGGUGGGGGGCUUUGGGCUUGACAAAGUUUGAUAGCAUCUGUCUGUACGUGUUUUAAGUGGGCCCUUUCGUAUAGAUAAUUUUACGAGUUCCGUAAAAGAUUGUGUUAUAGGGCUAAUUAUUCAGAAUAUGGUCGAAAAAACAAAUUCGGACAUCUACGGGUCUGAGCCUCUGAUGAGGUUCUGUUGUAAAUCUAUAGGUACCGGAUCAUGUCAGCCCGACACCUAAAAGUCAGUUAAAAAUUUUUUUUGAGCUCUGACAUCGCUUGUCAGCCCGGCUGCAAGAAAAAUUUUUUUUUAAAAAAAUUGUCAGCUGCCAGGCUGACAAGACCUGGUAGCUAACAACUUCGGCAAAAAAAGCUGGCUACCGGCUGCCAGGCUCUCAUCUAAUUUUUUUUUUUAAAAAAAAUUUUGCAAACUCUCCGGCUUUCUAAAUUGAACAAUCCACGGAAUUAAAGUGGAGAUGACAAUAAAACAUAGGUUACGUCUACGGUGGAAAGUUCACUUUUCUGCGCAUUAGAAGCAGAAUAAGGAGGCCAACUCUACUAUGUGGAGACGCACGAAGAAGUAUAUUCGGGCACCGGAGAAAGCGAAUUAUGUAUGGAUAAAAAAUGUUAUAUAUUUUAAAAUCACAAUAAAAGUCCUCUUAAAAAUUUAUUCAUCAUCUAAUGUCCAAUAUUUAUAUUUGAUAAAUUAAAUUAGUUAAUUAAAUAUUCUAUUAUAAUAUAAGUAACUAUAUGUCAUUGACAGGUGCCGAACCUGUGCAAUAAUAAUAAAUAUAACCUAACUACCACCUGAAAUAGUCAAUAGUCAAUUCAAGUACUGGAGCAGGGACUCUAGGUGUGUAAUGGGUUACUUGAUUCACCCUGUUCCCGAAGAGUUUGCUUAGUCCGAUAUACCUGAAUUAAUUAUUUAACUGAACUCACUAACUAGUAGACAGUGGUUAGUAGGGUCGUCUCCUCAGGGACUGGAGAAAAAUUUAUUUCUUUUCAAAUCAAGAUUAAUGGGGGGAUUUUGAGAUUAAAUAUCAAUUAAACAAAUUAAAUGCAGAAAAUUACUAAUUAAAAGAAACAAUUGAAGAAACUCUAGCCAAGGGUGCACUUCAGAAAUGGUUCAUGCACUGAUCAUCGAUUCGCAGAUAAUUCCAACAUUUAUUUAUAGAUUGGUUAUAGUUGUCAUGCACGCGAUAAACAACCAACCCUUCUUUUAUUUCUCGAUAGUUAAGGUACGCCCGUUAGCCAUUUUUCUAAUCCAAAAAUAACCCUAGAUACGACCGUAAGAUUUAAUUUCUAGAUUGCAUUAAUAAUUAGAAAGGUCCAAUCCUAACCAACAAACACGCUACGAGGAUUCGUUUAAAUUAGAUCGUAUGUUCCCAUAACAUAAAUCCAAUUACGCCAGUUGCUACUAAGAUAGAGAUAACGAACAAUUACGGAUUCAAUUACUCCUAUUUAACAAAAUAGCCUAUAUGAAUAAUUAAUUAUUGCGCACUAAUCAAUCAUACACAAGGGUUAUAACAAUUGAAAGUAUGAAACAUACAAAUACCAAUAAAUGAAGGAAAUAAUUAAAAAUAGUUUAAAUCUCACAGUAUUUGCUGAACCAAUUCGUCAGUUGCCCCUUAACUAGAAUUAGGGGUUUAGUUCUCCAUAAUUUGAUGACAAGCCGCGCGUGUGGAGUUUGUGAAAGUUUUUAGAUCAAUUUUUCCCUGCUUCGGUCGAUACCCAGAGGAAGCGCCAGGAAUUUUUUGUUAUUGCUUUCAAUUUCCCUCUAAGGCAUACGUCGGAUAUUGUCUCCCAAUUUCGGUCAAAAUUGAGUAAAGUGAAAAUCCACAGAGUCCACAAUGGUAGCUGCACUUUGCUUUCUUUCUUUCCUCACAAAAGAAACAUACGAGAGAUUGCUUUCAAUUGUUUGAUUCCUACAAUUCACUCCAGAAUAGCAAUGGCUCCAAGUCAACAAAGGAUGGAGAAACAAAUACAGAGUCAAUAAUGGAGGCUUUUUGUCUCUGGCCCCCCCUACAAAGCUACGGCCCCUUUUACAAUUCGAAAGCCAGAACGGCCUAAAACCUAAGCCACGCGAGAAAAAUUGGUUUUUUUCUCCUCUAAUCCCCCUUCAAAGCUGCGGCCCUACUGGCCUCUAAUACUCUCUUUUUUUUUUUCUGUUUUUGGUCAUCCGAAAUUAAGGAGGGAAUUUCCCCCAUUACCGGAAAUUGGUAUUUUAAAAUUAAAACAAGACUCCCUAAAAUAAAAUAAAAAUAAAGUCUAUUACAAUCAAAUUUCUUCAGCUUCUCAAGAGAGCCCCACGUACGACAAUCCCCUGAAUUUCGAUUUUAAGCACUUUCCAGCAUCAAAUCCUGCAAUUGGCACCAAAAUCAUAUCUGAGUAGAAUCCACCCAAUUAAUGAAAAUAUUUAGUCAAAUAAUAGUGUAAUAAUGCCCAAAACAUUCCACUAAAAUGCACCCCAUCAGUCAUUGAGUCGAAUGAAUAAUAUUUUCUUUUCUAGUUGUCUAUUAAGUUUCAAUUGAAAUAAAGAUUUUAUAAUUAUUUAAAUUAUUCAAUAAAAUUAUCAAUUUAAGAUGAACAGCAAUAUAAAUACAUUAAAUUGUAGUAUUGAAAUAUUUAAUUUAAUAUGAAGGAAAGACAAGAAGAAAUGGCAAGAAAUUUUUUAAAAAUUCAUGUGAGUUCUUUAUAUUGGUAAUCACAUUUAUUUGUUAUUAUAAUCAUAAUACCUGAUCACAAUCGAUUGAAACUCAUAUCCUAAUACUAUUUACAACUAAAGUUACUAUAUACUCAAAUUAAAAUUUUCUUUUUUUCACUAAAUUGUCUUUUAUAUAUGAUGUAUGUGUUAUCAUUUGUUGAUAAUUAAUAUAACGAAGAGAUGCUCUUUAGGCUAAUAUGUCUUGACAACGUGGAUUACUUUUAAGGAUUUGAAUGAGAACUAGACCACAUAAGAGACCAAAAAAUACGAAAUCAAACUUUUGACUAAUUCUAACUUGAUUUGACUGUUAUAUAUUAUAAUUUUGUAUUAGUUGUCCUAAAUUUGGCUAAAAUAAAAAAUUUGCGCUAAUAAUUAUUUUGGUCAAAAUAUCACGGAUUAAUUUAACUCAUAGACCAAACGUUAGGGGACCAAAAUUGCACAUGUUCCUUUAUUUUAAUCAUAUUUGAUAUCCCAACCCUUUCUUUUAUAUUUACGCCUCAAUUAUUUCAUCAAAUAUGAAAUUCAAUUUUAAAAAAAUAAAAUCUACCACAAUAUUUGUUUUGACAUGUACAAAAUUUACCAAAUAAUGUUGAAAAUUUCACCCAUUUUCCAAUACAAAAUUUCACCCUUAUUUUUAUUAAAAAAUUAUGCCACUUGACGUACUAAAUCUGACUGUUUUUUGAGUUAAUUAAAUUACGUUUCAAAAUUCGAACAAUAGAACUAGAUGAAAAUAGAUUUGUUAAAUCAAUAAUUACUUCUAUAAGAUGUUAAACUAAACAAAGUCUCCCACCAGCUUUAUUUUGUCCAUUUCUCUGCUACGCACCUGAAACGCAAAUUAGUCACGGGAUGCUCAACAUCUACCUGCCAGCUUUUUUUUUUUUUUUUGUCCAUAAGCCCCGAUUCAACGUUUGGGAUUUUUUUUUUUUUUAAGUUUGACUGGCUGCCGGGCUCUUUUUUUUUUUGUAGAAGUUGUCGACUACCGGGCUUUGUCAGCCCGGCAGCGAACAACUUUUUGUUUAAAAAAAAAAAAUUUCCCGCUACCAGGCUGUGUCAACCCGGCAAUGAUGUCAGAACUCAAAAAAAAUUUGACUGACUUUUGGGUGCAGGGCUGACACGGCCCGGUACCCAUAGAUUUGCAACAAAACCUUAUCAGAGCAGUAGAUGUACGAAUUUUUUUUUCUCGACCAUAUUCUGAGUAAUUAGCCGCGUCAUAGCAGCAAUUUGAUAUACGUGACAUAAAAUGAUAAUCGAAAAAUAUAUUUACAAAAAAUUGAAAAAUAUAUUUACGAAUAAAAGUAAAAAAAUUUUUCAUAAAAAGCGACAAUCCAAACAAAUUGCCUUCCAAAAUUUUCUCUCAAAUUUCUCGCUUUUUUUUUUAUAGCUAGUCACCUCUCAUUGAUUUUACGGUAACAGUUGAUUAGAGUUUACAACUCAUUCAUAAUUAUUUGGAUUAAUUACAAUUUGCCCCAUUGAACUUAACCCAUUAUGACACUUUGUCUCCUAAACUUUAAAUAUGUAUACUUUGCCCACUUUAUUGAUUAGUCAAAGGUUAAUGAUAAAUUAUCCAUCAAAAAAAUAUAACAAAAUGACAUUAAUGCCCUUACAUAAUAGUUCUAAAAUAAUGCUAUACUUUUAAUCGAAAUAUGAAACAUUUUAUUAGAAAAAAUACAAAGUCAUAUGAUUUUAAAAAAAGAUAUAAUCCAAAGAAUUGAAAAUUUGUAUUGUGGAGAAAAAAGAAUUUAAAAAUUCCUAAAACACCUGCACAAGUUUUGCAUCAUUUAUCUUUCUUCCUUUAAAUUAUAAACGGAUUAGUUUUGAUAAUUUUCAUUUACUUUGUAACAAGAUUUUCAUGAGUCAAUAAAUGCUGUAUUUGGCAAUCUUAUAUGACAUUCAUACCUUGAUUUGUAUUAUGUUUGCAUUCUACAUUUGAAAAAAAUUGAAAAUUCUCUAAUACAUUUUUCAAUAUAUUUUUAUUUUUAAUCAUGUUUUUGUCUCAUAUACAUUUAAAAGUGCUGAAAUAAAAAAAAAUAUAAGCAAAUAAUUUUCAUUCCAAAUGCACUAAAUAAUUUUAUUUCGGUUAAAAUAAGUAUUGCUAUCGACAUUGGGAUAAAUACAUUGAGUUGGUCAAAUUUCUUUUUUUGUGAAUUAUCUAAUUCAUUUUAAAGCUAAAAUAUCUAAAUACAUGCAUUUAACAACUACUAGAGAUUUUUUGGCUGUGCCUUGCCCAAUAUAUUGUGUCGAAAAUAUUGAAAAAUUUCCCUGUAUUCUCAUUUCUCUGAACAAUGAUAUGUAAAUUCUUGCCAAGUUGUAUGUAUUGUCCACGCAAAUGCAUAACUCGUAGAACUGAAGCAUUGAAGUAAUUGUUAACUUAAUUGGAUUGCUAAUUAAGCUGUUUAAUGGGCGAGACCACAGUGGUAAAGUUCACUAAAAAUUUUAUGAGGAAGACAUUAAUUUUUGCUCUUAUAUUUUAGACAUCAAUCAAUUACUUCUCAUAUUGGCUGCAAGCCUGCAAGGAAGGACCUUAAGAAGGGAUGUAAAUCUUAUGUCAUUGUGGACCAUAAUGAAGUGCUUGCAUACUUCCAUAUAAACCACGAAGAGUCUAGACAAAGGAGCACAUAUGCAAUAUGAAAAAUAAACAUGAAUGAAGAACUCAAUAAACGUAAAUUCAUUAAGUCACAGUACAAAGUCUUUCUUUCACACAUUUUUACAAUAGUUUGUACAGCUCCAACAAGAAUUGGGAGCGAAAAAAAAAUUCAAAUCUUGGGCUAAUUCAACCAUCUUGGACUUUAAAUUAUCAAAUAUGCAUAAUAAAGAUCUCUAAACACCACCACAACAAAUUCACUGAAUAGUAGAAGAAUAGUUCAUAACUUCACAAACACUUUGAAAUUCCUUCCAGCCCCAAAUGUUUGAUGCCAACACGUCACGUUUAUUCCAGUCCCAAACGCUGCCAUGCGGACAAUGAUUUUCGUAUAGCACUUUGAAAUUCCGUUAGAGAAUCCUAAUAAUGUCAGCAUUGAUAUUAAAAAGGUUCUUUAGUCAUUGCUAGUUUCCUAGGAACUCCAACAGGAAUAAUCACAAGAUGCAUGCGAGUGAGGGUAUCCUCCAAUUGCUCUUUUUUUACAAAACCAUGCAGCUAGAAAUGUAAACCAUAUAUUAUCAGUCUCUGUCAAAUUGAAUAAUGUGGUGCUUCUGGAUGAAAAGCCAAUAAUACAUAAUUGAUAUUAGUAACAAGUAACUUGAGGGUAUUUGUUGGGCAACACUAAAAUACCAGCACCUUGCACACUGGUUUUACAAAACAGUAAUGCUAACUUUAAUAUCAUUUAAUAAUACUCUGCUAGUCAAGUGGCACACAUGAAAUUUUAAGGUAUAUCUCAAUUAGCUAGGACUAUCUACUUGAAAUCAAGAAAAGAAAUUACAUCAAAGAAUCAAUUCAUUCACUCACCACUAAAGGCAAAUCAAACCAUAAUAAAUAGCAUUUUAAGAACCACAAACACAAAUAUUUAAAUUGUAAAAUAUUACCUUCUUUUGUGGGGUUUUGGUAGGUUCUUCCUCAUUCGCAGAAGUUUCUUUUUCAUCUCGGAAGAUGAUUCAUCUGAGCUGCUUAUCUUUGGUUGCACAGGCUGUCAAAGUUAAAUUCAAGCAUUGAACAUAUAAGUGAAAUGUUAAGGUCCCACAAAAGUCAAAUGCCAUUAAUAAUAUAUCUCGCUACCUUGUUUGCUUUUGGCGGUUCCUCAUCAAAUUUUUCAUCUGAACUUUCUGUAAACUAAGAAAAAUGGAGAGAAAAAAAUACUUUUCUUCUAUUUCACUUUGGACUAUACAAUAUACAAAUAUAUAUAUAUACACAAGUGGAUACUAUAAUCAUAUGAUACUAUAAUCAUAUUAUUACCUAAUUAAUAUAUGAUACUAUAAUCAUAUGAUACCUAAUUAAUAUAUGAUACUAUAAUCAAAUCUUUCCUAAUAUUUAUAUUAUCAAAUCUUUCCAUAAUAUCAGAUCACAUAUCUUCAACACUCCCCCUCAAGCUGGUGAAUAUAGAUCUUCCAUUCCCAACUUGGCAACACUUUCAUGAAACAUGUUGCUACACAGUCCCUUUGUCAUCACAUCUGCAAGUUGAAGUCCUGUCGGAACAUAUGGAGUACAAAUCAGUCCACUUUCUAGCUUCUCUUUAAUAAAGUGCCUGUCUAUCUCUAUGUGCUUCGUUCGAUCAUGUUGCACUGGGUUGUGAGCUAUACUUAUAACAGAUUUGUUAUCACAAUAUAGCUUCAUCGGUUUGCUCCAUUGAAUCCUCAAGUCUUCUAGGAUAAUUUUAACCCACAAUAAUUCACAUACCCCUACUGCCAUAGCCCUGAACUCUGCUUCAGCACUUGACCUUGCUACCACACUUUGUUUCUUGCUUCUCCAGGAUAUUAAGUUUCCUCCAAGAAAUGUACAAUAUCCUGAAGUUGAUCGCCUGUCAACUGGAGACCCUGCAAAGUCUGCAUCUGUGUAAACUGCCAGAUCAAUUUCAGGACCCUUUUUGAAUAAAAUUUCCUUCCUUGGAUGUGCCUUUAAGUAAUGAAGCACUCGAUAAACUGCUUGUAGAUGAACUGCUCUAGGAUCAUGCAUAAACUGACUAAUAACACUGACUGAGUAAGCUAUAUCUGGCCUAGUAUGUGCGAGAUAAAUGAGUUUCCCAACAAGUCUUUGGUACAUCUCUUUGUCCACUGCUGUAUCUCCAUGAGCCUCACUUAAUUUGUGAUUCUGCUCAAUGGGAGUUCCAACUGGUUUGCUUGCUGUCAUGCCUGUUUCCUUGAGCAGGUCCAUAACAUACUUCUGUUGAGAAAUAAAAAUUUCCUGCCUUGAUCGAGCCACUUCAAUUCCCAGAAAAUAUUUCAAUUUUCCUAAAUCCUUUAUUUCAAAUUCCUUGGCUAGGUACCACUUCAAAGUUUUCUUCUCUACUUCAUCGUUUCCUGUCACUAUGAUGUCAUCUACGUAUACAAUCAAAACAGUAACUCCCCCCAAGGCUGAAUGCUUGAUGAACAGGGUAUGAUCUCCUUGACUUUGCAUGUAACCAUUAGCUAUCAUUACCUUGGCAAAUCGUCCAAACCAAGCACGUGGGGAUUGUUUCAGCCCAUAUAAUGCCUUUUUUAACCGACAAAUCUUGUUCUUGUCAACCCCACUGAAUCCCGGUGGAAUGCUCAUAUAAAUCUCCUCUUCUAACUCUCCAUGAAGAAAAGCAUUCUUCACAUCGUAUUGCUGUAAUUCCCAAUCAAAAUUAACAGCCAAGGAUAGCAAAAUUCUCACUGUAUUCAUCUUUGCUACUGGAGCAAAUAUUUCCCGAUAAUCUACUCCAUAUGUCUGUGUGUAACCUUUCACGACUAACCUUACCUUGUAGCGUUCUAGGGACCCAUCUGCUUUAAACUUUACUGCAUACACCCAUUUACAGCCCACUACUUUCUUGUUCUUUGGUAAAUCAACUAAUUCCCAGGUCCCAUUCUUCUCUAAUGCAUCCAUUUCUACUUUCAUAGCAAGUCUCCAUUCUUUCUUUGAUAAUGCUUCAGACAAUGAGCUAGGAAUAGAGACUGUAUUUAAGGUGGAAAGGAAGCUUUGAUGGCUCGGGAAAAACUUCUCAAAAGACACAAAGUGAGACAAUGGAUAUAGGGGUCUUUUGGUGCAUUCUCGGGAUUUUUUCCUUACAGCAAUAGGUAGAUGUAGGUCCUGGUCAAGGCUCAGAGGCUCAGGACAAGGUAAUUUAGAGCUGGAAGAAUGGUCGGUCGGUGUUGUAGAAUUCAGAUUUGAUUCACUCAUUGUUACCUCAUUCCCGGAGCUUGGUUUAGAGGAUUGUUCUUGCCUUGUAACCACGAUGGGAUCUCCUUUCCUUGUAUACACUUGGUCAAAUCGGAACCAGUCAUAGAUUUUACGGUCUUCCUUUUUUUCUUCUAUCACAUCAGAUUGAAGAAUUGACUCUUGGAAUUCAGAUUUGGAUGACUCAGAUGUGGUCAACUCUAAGGAGGAAAAUUUUAACUCCUUAUCUUCAAGUGUAUCUAACUCCCCCUGAAGAUAAGGAGUGAUGAAAUAGGGCUUAUUUUCAACAAAUGUAACAUCUGCCGAGACAUAGAGUUUUCUAGUCGGUGGAUGAUAACAUUUGUAACCCUUUUGAGUAGAUGAGUACCCCACGAAGACACACUUAAGAGCACGAGGAUCUAACUUCCCACGGUUAUGACUAUGGACAUGAACAAAGGAAGUACAUCCAAAAACUCGAGGAGUGAGAUUAAAGAAAGAUCGAAUAUCGGGGUAAAAUUUGGAUAGGUUCUCUAGUGGAUUUUGAAACCCCAAGACCUUGGAAGGAAUUCUAUUUAUGACAUAAGCUGAUGUGAGUACAGCUUCUCCCCAAUAUGCUUUUGGCACACUUUGUUCAAACAGUAAGGCUCUAGUGCACUCAAGAAGAUGUCGAUUUUUCCGUUCUGCCACUCCAUUUUGUUGUGGAGUGGCAAUACAGGAUGAUUCAUAUAUGAUUCCUUCUUUUUGGAAAAACUGACUCAAGAUUUGAUUGAAAUAAUCACGAGCAUUAUCUGAAUGAAAGUGUUUUAUCUUGGUGCCAAAUUGAUUUUGAAUCAUUGCAUGAAAAACAGGGAAAAUAUAACUCAAAUCAGACUUAUUUUUGAGUAAAUAGAUCCAAGAGACUCUUGUGCAGUCAUCGAUAAAUGUGACAAACCACUUAGACCCUGAGAUGUUUGGAAUAGUUGAUGGCCCCCAAAUAUCACUAUGGAUUAAAAAGAAAGGAGAAGACGAUCGUUUAUUACUGAUAGGAAAUGGGACACGAGUGUGUUUAGCAUACUCGCAAAUAUCACAAUGAAAAGACUGAACAUCAAAUCCCUUGAACAAGGAAGGAAACAUUAUUUUUAAUGCAGAAAAAGAUACAUGACCUAGACGUCUAUGAUGUAACCAGAUGACAUCUUUAUUGGAGGGUGAAGACAAUGUGGAGAGGGCAGAUUUACUAAAUUCUGGUUGACUUGAUGUAUCCAAGUAAUAGAGUCCAUCAUGCUCCUUAGCUAGUCCAAUCCUCUUCCCCGAGCCCCGGUCCUAAAAGUCACAAUAGGAUUCAUCAAAUAUAACAGAGCCAGCUAGACCCUUGGAAAGUUUUUUUACAGAAACCAAAUUUGUAGAUAAUCGAGGAACAUGAAAAAUAUUUUUAAGAAUCAAAUUUGGAGUAACUUAGACAUCUCCGAUACCUGCCACAGUGGUUGUAGUACCAUCUGCAACAACAAUCUUUCUAUUGCUAGGACAGGGAUAAUAGGUUUUGAAUUUAUUUGAAAUAUGAGUCAUAUGGUCCGUAGCACCAGAGUCAAGAAUCCAGACAUUCCUAAGCUCAUUGCCUAAAACACUAAAUGCAAAAGAGACUAGAGCCUUACCUGAAAGUGUCAAUGAACACAUACCCGGAUUCCUUGAUUGAGAAUUGUUAGUUGCUGGUUUGUCAACUGUCUCUAACAUACUUUUAAGCUUCUCAAUUUCCUCCAUACUAAACCCUCCAAUCACUUGAGUUGGAUCUUGAACCGACAUAUGAGCCUGCCUUUAUUGGCCACCUUUUUGUCCCCAUUCACGAGUGGGUGGUUUCCCAUGUAGUUUCCAGCAUUGAUCUAUGGUGUGUCGUGGUUUCUUGCAGUAUGUGCACCACAACUCCUCGCGAUUCUUUUGCCCACUUGUUUGAUUGGUCUUGUCCGCAGCAAUCUUGUUCAGUACCACCCGCUGAGAUUUGGAACUUAAAAUGGCUGAAUUUUCUAUUGAAGGUAACUCUAACAUAAUACCCCUGCGACUUUCUUCUCCACGUACUUGGGAUAUUGCUUCUGUUAAAGAAGGAAACUCUGGCCUGCCCAGAAUUUGAAUUCGUACAAGAUCGAAUUCAGAGUUUAGGCCAGCCAAAAAAUCAUAAACUCGAUCCCUUUCUAUGAACUUCUUGAUAAACACUGCACAUUUGCUACAGUUCAAAUCAAGUGCCCUGUAAUAAUCCAGUUCCUGCCACUGAUUUUGCAGAAAAUUGGCAUACUCCGUCACUGUUUUUGUCCCUUGUUUUGCUCCAGUUGUCUCUGUCUUGAUGUCAUAGAUAAGAGCUGCAUCAUUAACCUUAGAAUAUGUCUGAUGAAGGACAUCCCAAAUUGCCUUUGCUGUAGGAAGAAACAUACAUGUAUCGCUGAUUUCAUGAAUCAUGGAAUUCCAUAACCAAGACAUGAUCAUUGAAUCCUCUUGUUCCCAUGCUUCAAACCCCGCCGUUUCACUAUCCGGUGCUAUUUCCAAUAGAUGACUCAAUUUUCCUUUUCCUUUCAGGAAUGUUCGAACCAAUUGAGACCACUUCAAAUAAUUUUUUCCAUUUAGUCUAUAUGCUGCCUGGAUGUUUUGAAGCUCUGUUGUGUUCCGUGUACUUUGUUCUUCUUCCAUAGUUGAAGACAAUUGCCGCGUUGAGGAUGUAGCAUCCGCCAUGAUUGAAUAGGACGGGGGAAAAAAAUGUAUAGUAACAGGAACAGCAGUGAAGGCUGGAGAGAAUAAGAAAGGAACCAGCAAUUAAGGCUGGAAUUGACAAGAAGCAAAGGUGGUAUUUUUCCCAGAACCCUAGAUGAGCUCUGAUACCAUGUAAACUAAGAAAAAUGGAGAGAAAAAAUACUUUUCUUCUAUUUCACUUUGGACUAUACAAUAUACAAAUAUAUAUAUACACAAGUGGAUACUAUAAUCAUAUGAUACUAUAAUCAUACUAUUACCUAAUUAAUAUAUGAUACUAUAAUCAUAUGAUACCUAAUUAAUAUAUGAUACUAUAAUCAAAUCUUUCCUAAUAUUUAUAUUAUCAAAUCUUUCCAUAAUAUCAGAUCACAUAUCUUCAACACUUUCCUCUUCACUACUACUUACUAUGUUCCCUGCCUUUAGCACUGGAUUUCAGAACACCAGAGGGCUAGAGAACCCCACAAAGAAAUAAUUACAAAAGCCAACUGAUAUGAUAAAAGGCAACAAAAAUGCAUACUUGAAAAUUACAUACGACAACUUUACUAUUCUUUUUUUGAGGCUCCUCAUCUUCACUUUCCUCAUCAGAAGUGUCUUCCUCACUAUUGUCUUUAUUCAGGUGCACUUGCAAAGCUAAAAUAAAAAAUGCAUAUACCAGUCAAAAAAACAUGUCAUUUUUAACGCUUUAAGCAUACGAAGCUAUUACCUGCUUGUUUUCAGCUGCAAAGGAAGGCCUCUUGGGAGAAACAACUUUAGGAGGUGGUGACUACCAUUUGAUAAAGUAGCAAAACAAGGAAAUAUCAGGAAUUAGAAAACAAAAUGUAGAAAGAACCAGAAUACCUCUCUAAAGAAAUAUAUGUCGUCCAUAUUUCGAACAAAUACCAUGAAUUAUGAAAAAAUUGAAUGACAUACUUGUCCACAGCCAUACGCAAGCUUCACAAUAACUUGAAACUUAAGCUCAGCCAUGUUCUCACAUAGAAGUGUCAAUUUCAAAAGAAAAUCCUGUACAAGGAGAGACAAAAGCUAAACGUACAGUUAUCAAACAAAACAGACAAAAACUCAUAAAACAAUAUCUGACAAACAAUAGAGAAUCUGAUCUGCUUAACGGUUAAUUACUUUUAAUAGCAAGGGAAAGAUUUUUGGCAAUGUUGGGUAAAUUAGGAGGCAACAUACAAGACAUGUUCUGUAAUUUUAUACAAGCUCCCAAAAUUUUUUUUUUGAAGAUAUGAACUAAAAUUGUGUUCACAUGUUACAAGGUUCAUAUAAGCAAAAAUGUUUGAAGAUGCACAUUCAGAGUUACUCUUCAGAAUCAUCAUAAAAAAGCUUUUUUCAGCCUAAGCUUAAGCAAAAGAACACAGUUUCUAGCUAAUGGGAUGGAAAGACAAAAUAAACUGGGGGGAAGAAAUCCAAACAUGCCCUGAAUUCUCUAUUCACUCAUUUUUCUAUAAUACCUAGACAGCAUUGAUGUCUUUGUACCAAAUUAUGUAAGGAAUAAAAGACAACUGCACAAUUGCACACAGCCCCAACAUUGUUGAAUUGAAAAUCUCACCAGCCUGAUGUCUAAGUCCGAAUUUUAAUCAUUUGUUUCAUCAUCUGAAUCAGAAGACUCAACUUUCUUUUGGGAGCACCUGCAGGCUGGGACUUAAUGGCUGCUGCUUUCUUAGUUGCAGGAAGAUCAUCUUCUGAGCUGCUGCUAUCCUCCAAAAUCUGUUCUAUUAUUUCCUGUUGUUAUUAGUAAUGACAGCUAAUGGUUUAGUACUCUUAAAUUUUUCAUUCUGUCGCCCUAGGGUGCAUGAAAAUAUGAAUUUUAUGCAAUCAGCUGGUUGUAACAUGUAACAGGAACCCAACAGACUUUUACUAUUAAAUGGCAAGAACUUACAACCUAUGGACUUAAUACUCACAAGAGAACUUACAACUGAUAAGAAAAAAAUGCAAGGAAAAAAAAUUCAGUUGAUAAGUGAUAGGUGAAACCAAAUGAACUUACAACUGAAAUUUGUGAACGCUAAACUAGAAGCUCUUCUGCACCAAUUCUUUGAAAGUGCAAUUAAACCCCUAAAGAAAUUUGGCAAUCAAAAUGAAAAAUAUACAGAUUAUCCAAUCUCUUGAAUACUUGUAGGGGAAAAUAUUACACACAGAAAAUGAGUAAUUACCUUUAGUAGGAAGCAUUGUAGAGGAAAAUGAGGAAGAACUGUGGAGUUUUUUGUGAGCAGUGUUCUUAAUGUAUACAGAGACACAAACUUUAUUAGUUGUUAGGAAUUUUUCUUUAACAGUCGAUAAUUUGCCAACUGGCCAACAAAAAGGGAUAAUUGCAGAAACCUCCUUGACUUUUAUAGUAAUAGCAUUGAUCUCCCGUAGCAAUUUUGAAAUAGCACUGACCACCCCUAUCAAAAGUUGGAGGCAAUUCAAUAGGCAAAAGUGGGUCAAUUUACUAAAGUUCCCUUGACAUGAUUUAAUUUUACCAAAUGAAUGUGAUGAGUACUUUCAUCAAACCCAACAAAACAUUUGUUAAUAAAAAUUACACUAAAUUAACUAUUUCUACAUAGUUUAACUAAUUAACUAAAUAACUAAUAAUCUAAUUAAUUAAUAACUAAUUAUCUAAUUAACUAUUAACUAAUUAACGAAUUAUCUAAUUGUUAAUAGUUAUUAACUAAUCAAACUAUUUCUGCAUAGUUAAACUAAUUAACUAAUUAACUAUUAAUUAUUAACUAAUUAUCUAAUUAAUUAAUUAACUAAUUAACUAAUUUCUAUUUAUCUAAUUAACUAAUUAUCUAAUUAACUAAAGCUGUUGUCUGUCCGAAACUAACAAACUAUUUGCAUGUUAAACUAAUUAACUGCUUAACUACUUAACUACCUAAUUAUCUAAUUAAUUAAUUAACUAAUUUUUGUUUAUCUAAUUAACUAAAGUUGUUGUCUAUCCGAAACUAACAAACUAUUUGUAUGUUAAACUAAUUAACUGCUUAAUUAAACCUGUUGUCUAUCCGAAACUAACAAACUAUUUGCAUGUUAAACUAAUUAACUGCUUAACUAAUUAUCUAAUUAAUUAACUAAUUUCUGUUUAUCUAAUUAACUAAUUAACUAAAUCUGUUGUCGACCUGAAACAAACUAUUUGCAUGUUAAACUAUAUGCAAUACGCAUUAUCUAUUUAAAAUAUCGGCUCUUUAUGAGUAUUUUACUUUCAAACAUUUAAUUUAUGAUAAAACAUCAAUGUUUGUAAGUAAAAUUCAAAAAGUGUUACAGUAAUAUCAAUAUUCUCACUUUCAAACAUUUAAUUUAUGGCCAUAUGCCCCUCCCUUUUUAUAAGAAUAUUAGUGUAACACUUUUUAAAUUUUACUUACAAACAUUGAUGUUUUUAUCAUAAAUUAAAUGUUUGAAAGUAAAAUACUCAUAAAGAGCCGAUACUUUAAAUAGGUAAUGCGUACUGCAUAUAGUUUAACAUGCAAAUAGUUUGUUAAUUAGUUAAUUAGUUAAGCAGUUAAUUAGUUAAUUAGUUUAACAUGUAAAUAGUUUAUUAGUUUCGGACAGACAACAACUUUAGUUAAUUAGUUAAUUAGAUAAUUAGUUAAUAGUUAAUUAGUUUAACUAUUAACUAAUUAGAUAAUUAGUUAAGUAAUUGUCAAGCAAAUAAUAAUUGUCAAACAAGUAAGGGCAAAAUUGAAAGAAAAUUCUUAUCUCACUUCUACAAAAGCUGUUAAGGAGGUUUCUGCAACGAAUUGUUACUGUUCAGGGGAGGUGAAUGCAAUUUCUAAAUCUAGACGGGAGGUCAGUGCAAAUGUCAGAAAUCUCAGGGGAGGUUUCUGCAAUUAUCCCAAAAGGAAAACAAAAGGACAAAACUAUAUUCCUAGAAAUGGUAUUAGCCAUCAUGAACACAAUAGAUAAUGAUGCAAAAUGGAUGAAUUGUUAGAGAUUUUUCUUCUCACUCUUGAUAAUUUCUCAACUGGCAAACGAAAACAAAGGAAAAGGACAAACCUAUAUUCCUAAUAAUUGGUAGAAAUCAUACCUCAUACUUGAUUUUUGUGGAACAAUCCCACAGUUGGGAUAUGGAUGGGCAGCCAUAAUUGACUCUCUGUGGAACAAUCCCAUGGUUGGGAUAUGGAUUAGCAGCCAUAAUUUGAGGAAAAAGAUCGUCAAAUUGUUGACCAAGUGUUGGAGGAGUUCAAUUGGUACUUUUGUUUGUCAGAACCAGAAAGAAAAUGAAAGAGAGAAAAAGGAACGGAAGUAGAGAGAGAGGAACAAAGGAGAAAAAGUACAGUUGAACAUGAAGACAAAAUGAAAUCUGAAAACAUGCUUCUUCUGCAGGAAAAAGAAAAUGAAGCGAAACCACUGGCAAAGAGAGGAGUAAACAGUUUGCUACUGGCGGAAGAAUUGAAGAAAAGAAAGCUGAAAGGAAAAAUUAAGAAACGGGAAACACAGAGAGACGAAAAAAACAAAAGAUGACAGGCUAAAAUGAAGCAGAAAGGGAGCGCUUUGCCUUGCUGCCACGUCGGUGAACUUCCAUCUUUUUGUUUGACUUUUUGACUUCUUGUCUUUGACUUUCACAACACAGCAAAACUAAUGCCAACUACUGCUUUCUUUGGUCAGGGAAAAGAGGGCAAGAGACGGGAAAGACUGAGAAAUAAAGCAAAAGGCCAUUCGCAAAAAGUCACAAAUAGCCCUCAAUAGUUAGUUACUAUUUUGGGGCUAGUUAUUUUUCUCUGGGUAAGAUAGUAAUUUCAUGUAAAAAGACAAAAAUGACCUCAACAGUGAUAUACUAUUAGGAGAAGUAGUAAACAUUCUCAGGGCAUAAAAGGAAGAAAAAUUUUCUCCCUCCUCUAAUGCCGCCACGUGGCUCAAUGUGGGAGAAGAAGCCUUAGGUUUUUAUAUAUACUAGUGAGACGGCUUGCGCGAUGAGCAGGAGGACUAAUAUUUCCCGUGUUAAGUUGCUUAAUUUUUAGCCGUUAUAUAUUUCUUAUACCGCAGAGAGUUAUAUAAUUAUUAUAAGUCUGACUUGAAUUAUAAAAUAAUAGUGCGGUAAAUUGGUUGGGUGAAUAUAGUGUUAAUAGUUUGUGAAGUAUGGAGGAUAUUUUGUAAUAUAAUGGUUAAUAAAGUACUAUAAUUGAGACAAUGCAGUGUCGACAUUUUCUGUGGUAUGAUUUGUAUAAAUUAUGUGGUCUAUGUGAGGUAAUUAUAAAGAUACCCGUCUAUAUUUAUGUAUAUCUCUAUUACUCACUAAAUUCCAUAAAUAUUGGCCUAUUUCCUUUUUUUUUGCAUAAAUUAAAACCUUUAAUCAAUAUAAUCACAACAAUUAUUUUUUUUCAUAUUUUUGUAAAAUGCCGCUCACUAAUAUUAGAUCAUUAAUCCACAUUAAGAUCCAUGUAUUAUACAUUGUUUUUGAAAUUUACAGUACUUUAAUUUUUUUAAUGUAAGAAACAAUCUAAUUAAUGUUGCAUGUUUGACUAAAAGAAUAAUAAAAAAAUAGCAUACAACAUUGCUUUUCAAUUUAGAGCAAUUUUGAGCCAUUAGGAAAAAUGAAUAUGCUAAAAAUUUUAUAAUAAUUAUAUAUAUACAUUAAAUAUGGAUAUAUAUUUAACAAUAUAAAAGUGAGAGUUGCCCUAUAAACAUUAUUUUUUUGUCGAGCGGUUAUCCUGCAAUUGUUAUUAGAUAUCCAAGCUAUUAGUAAAUAACAAACUAAUUUUUCUUUUUUAUAGAAUGAAAAGAAUAAGAAUAAAAACAAGGGCAUUAAAAAUUUGUAAUAAUUAUAUAGAGUAAAUAUGGAUUUAUAGACUAAUAUAUCUUUAUAAUUGUACGUUUUAAAAAGUAGUAGGAUUAGAAACCAUUUUUAGUCCAAACCCUUAACACCUUAACUGAUUUUGGUUAUUUGUGAUAAUAAUAAUAUUGGACUUGUCUCUCUCUCUCUCUCUCUUUUUCUUUUUCUGUUGUUCAAUUUUUCGGAAUUGUGCAGUCAAAAGCUACUCCUGAACAUGCUAAAUAACCACUGCAUUCAACAAUUUUACAGAACACUAUUUUAUUUCAUUUUUUUGCAAUAUAUGCAUUCUUUUUUUUUUUCAAACAAUUUUAUUUCAUGCCACAGUAAUAAAAUUCAUUUUUUAAAGUCACUAAUGCCAAUAAUAAUUUAUUAAUUAUUUCCUCAAUAAUUGUGUCUUUACAGAACACUUAACAAUUUUAUUUCAUGUUAAGCUAUCAAUAAUUUAUUAAUUAUUUCCUCAAAAUUGUGCAUUUACAGAAUACUUCAAAAGCAAAUAAUUAACCACAAAAUUAACUUUCUACUAAAAAUACAAGACUAACUUUUAAAUUUUGUUUAAAAAGUAAAAAAUAUCACUAAAUUCAACAUUCCAACUUAAAGAGCCUAAAUAAAAAGGUAUAUAAUAACAUUAAAUCACAUAAAUAUAUUGAUUGUAUAGUUAGAUGUAAAGAAUGUAGGCAACAAAGAAUAUAAAAGGCAUCCGAUAUUUAGUAAAAUAAAAGAAUAUAAAUAAGCAUGAAUAAAAGUAAAAAUGGGAAAAAUUUAACAAGCAUCGUGAUUAAGAGGAAUGAAAGUGUGGUAAUUCUCAUCUCUGUAAUAGGUUUCCAAAUGACAUGAACAAAUCAAAAGUCCAAAACAGUAGAUUACUCAAAGUCAAAAUGGCAAUUUUCCAACGAAGAAGAGGUGGGUUUCAAAGAAACAUGUAGAAAUAGAAACAAAAAGUGAGGCAUCCACAAAAGUGAACAAUGAGUCAACAAAAAAUAGGGUCAGAAGACAACAAAAUUACCAAACAAUCAAGCAACUAUAGCAUGCAGCUUGAACGAAGGAAAAAAGGAAUGGCAUAACUGAAAAAUAAGACAAACCUAAGGCUAAACUAAUACUCAAGAAUAGCUAAGAUGGCCUGUCUCUGCGGAUCACAAUAGGCAAAAAUGAUGCAAACAAAGAGGAACAAAGUAUAAAUAAAUUACAAAGAAACCACACAACUAUAACAUGCAUCUUUCGGUCUCCUGAGCAAGGCAGAAACAGGAAAUGGCAUUAGCGAAAAAUGAAGGACUAACUAAGGCUAAUUCUAAUAACAUAAGGAACUGCCAAAGACUGAUGCAAAUGGGGUUGCCGAAAAGCCAACAAGACCAAACAAAUACAAAAGCCAUCAAAGUUGCUGAAAAUUACGUGAUAACCGCUCGACCAAAAUGGCACCGUUCAUUCUCCAACUCCCGCUUUUAUAUAGUUAGAUAGAUGUAAGAUUAAAGAAAAAGGUGUUUAUUAUAUUACAAUUAUUAUGUGUGCUUAAGAAUUAGCCAUGAGAAAAAUAUAACUUCAUCUUAACUUUAUCAAAAAAAUUGACCAUAAGAGGUAAAGUGGAUCAAGUGUUACCUGGUGAUCAACAGGGAUAUGUUUUCGUGGGGUUUGGGUGCGUAGACUAUGAUAUAAUCGGGUAGAAAGGGACGUUAGAUUCAAAAGAUUAAUAAAUAAUCGGGACCUUCCACCUAACUAGUGAUGCCGCGGAUAUUUAGCUAAAUUCCUCGAUGUGUCACUUGUACCAAUACUACUCUUUCUUUUUUUUUUUUUUUUGGGAGUAACUUGUACCAACACUCAAGGAUGCAAAUCAUUUAAUUGUUUUUAAGAAAUGUUCAAAUCACGAAAUUUGGUUACGUAUUUUGGGUUGGGUUUAAUUGCGAAGAUAAGUUAGGCAGACUUCGUCUUGCAUUUUGUCACACGUUUGUAUUGAUGUUAAUGGCGCAAGGUAUUGUUUCAACUUUGAAUUUGUGAAGAAAAAAACUUCACUGAUGAAGAAUAUUCUGUUAUUAAGGCAAAUUGCAAAUGAUUAAAAGGAGGAAAAGUUGAAGUAAAAACUUACUUAAUGAAUGAUGCCAAGGGGGUUUUGGUUUAACGGCUAAAAGUUGAAGUUCCAAAAUUUAGAAAUUCUAGAUUUAAAUCUGGCUUUCUCCCUCAUUACUUUCUAAAUCUCAUUCCUCUUUAAUAAGAAAAAAAAAACUUUUGAAAAAGAAAGAAAUCAAAUAUAGAAUGAAGUACGCUAUUGCACUCUCCAAAAAUUUUUGAUGAAAUGAAAUAGUAUGCUUUCUCUUAAUGCAUCGGGUGAGAUUUGAAUGCACCCGAUGGUGCAGCACAUCGAGGAAUUUAGCUAAAUAUCCGUGGUAUUGGCAUCACUAGUUAGGUCGAAGGUUACGAUUAUUUAUUAAUCUUUCGAAUCUAAUGCCCCUUUUCUACCAGAUUAUAGCCUUGUUUGGAAGGUAAGUUUUUUGCCAAGUUUGUUUGCUAUAAGUUUUUUAAAAAUUUUAGUUACAGUAAUCUAAAAAAAUUUUUAAUUUAUACAUUUUAAAAUAUUCAAAAAUUUACACACUUCAAAAAUUUUUUUAAAAAUUUUAUAAUACACUAUAGUAAAGUUUUAAACAAACACAAAAAAAAAAUUCACUUGCCAAAUAAGGUGCAUAUCAUAGUCUCCGCACCCAAAACCCCACGAAACAUCCCCGUUGAGCGUUGACCUGCGUAUCUCAGAAUGCCUAUUUCACCAGGUCCCACUGGCAACCUUUCAAGAAGUCAUAAAAGGUGUGCCAACAGAUUAAUCUGCUGAAAACAAAUCAAGGUGGAGAGGUAGAAAGGAUACAGAAGUAGGUGGGUCGUAAGAGGCAGUAGAGCUCUUCAACUUCUCUUCCCAGAACGCACAAAGAAUAAAUCAGUCAGUCAACCACGCUACUUUAUUCGACUCAAAUAUAAGUAAUGCUAAAUUAACACGGCAACCAUUCCUCAAACUUUUCAACACGAAAAGAAACAAGGGAUUAUGAAAGGAUCCUUAAGGUCAUGUUAAGCCUAGGUACUUACAUCCAAAGCUACUUAAUUAAUACAAUGCAAAACACGCUAAAGUAGUCAAAAUCAAUGAAUGCAUUAGGUGUUGCUUCUUUAGGCAGUGCUCAUAUUCCUUAACAAUGCAAACAUGAAACAGCAUGAGCAAGAUGCAGAAACUGUAAAACUAGCUUGAAUCAAGCACUGAUGAACAGAUUAAACGUUGAGAACCUCGUGAUACAAACUUUCAAGUAACUCUUAUGAUAUGAAAACGAUCGGCAAAAUGGAUGGCAUUGGCCACUCAGCUCAACAACAACAGAAAUAAUGUCCCCAUCAUGAUGGUGAAGCAACAACAACUGAGAAAGUUCCCAUCCAGGCCCAAACCAAAAUAGAAAUAAAAUGCACACACACACACACACACACACACACACACAUAUAUAUAUAUAUAUAUAUAUAUAUAUAUAAUACAUGUUAUCUUCCUCAGGAGGAAAAUAAUAUCAUGGAGGCAUUGACAAGCCAAGCAAAGACACAUUCUAAAGCACAAAACAAUGGGAUAUUAACUAUAUCAGUUGUUUGUUAGGUUAUCCAUCGUUGAAUUUCACCUUCAACUGACAACCAUUUCCAAAAUCAAUUUGAUCAAGGUUCAGCCCAAAUCCAACUUUUUAAAGCUUAUGGGAAAAAGAAUUAUGCAUGUCCAAAACCAUAUUAGGUAUCCUUGCUCAGUCCAUGCAAGACAGGUGAAAACUUAAUUUCAACCCACAACUUGCUUCAAGCUUCAACGUCCACUUGUAUUGCACUCUAUAAAGUAUUGUAAUAAUUAAAAAUCUCAUCAAGGCCAAAAUGCACUAUGUACAGUAUGCAAUCAAUUCAAAUCCAGUCAAACAAGUAUCUAAUAUAAGAAGAGGUGCUUACACCAUUUUUUGCUGCACCGAUAAUCAGGUUAGGCCAAAGUUCACUUUCAAUUAGGAUGAUUGCAUUUGGCAUCCAAUAACCGAGAAAAGCCUCCACAGCAGCAGGGGCAUCAACUGGAGCAAACUGGUUCCCGCAUAAAACUACUUAAUGAGAUUAAAGGAACUGGCAACACAACAUAAUAUGAUCAAGAUAACAAGACUCGUCAAGCAUGAAGAGCACAAAAAAUAUAUAAAAAAUGAAAAUGCCAUCAAUUUUUCAGGAUACACCACCAACCAGAGACAUCAGCAAUAUCUACAAUUUUAGAUGGGUCAUUAGGUAAACUGUGAUGAAAAAAGCAUAUUGACUUGCUCAAUAACUUAGAGCAUCUUAAUUUCAUUAAAAGUACAGGCCACUGCGUGUACACCUUUUAAAUAAUGUCUGAAAAAUGUAUAACAAACAGAUGCAAUCACCUGAUAUAUGACAUUAGCUGUAAGCUCCUUCUUUAUGGCCUCACUACAGAACGAAAAAACAAAAGGAAAUGAAGACAAAAGCAAACAAGAUGAGAUGAAUAGGCAACAAAUGUAAUUUCCUGUUAAUUAUAAACUUUAAUCCAGAGAGAGAGAGAGAGUUGGGGAAUUAUAAGUGUUUUUGCAGUAAUUUCUUUAUAAAGGUAGACCUCCCACGGUAUGUCUGUCAGUGAAAUUACUGCCUACCCUUUUCUUUUGAGAACUUGUACUAGUCUAAAGAAUAACCAAAAGUUGACCUAUUUUUCAAGUUUAGUAGAUCCAAGAGCAAAGGUUGAGCUAAAACUGUUUUCAAGUUCCCUGGCUGCGAAGCAAAUAUGCUACAGUCCGGUCUUUGACCUCUGACUGUGAAAUUACUGAUUGAACAUAAGUAAAUUACAGUAAAUAUUCUCAGUCAUGUUAAGGCGGACUACUUUGUGGAGUCCCUUUGGGAAAUCCCUCUAGUCUCCAGAAGUGCACCAGGCUUUAUGGUGACUUUCAAAUGAAAAUCUAUUAUGACCUUCAUCAAACUAAAAUAUUACUUAUUCUGCAUUAUAAUAUCUUUCGUAUCAUUCAUCAAACUAAAAUAUUACUAAAGUUUAUUCCUCAGCUGUGUUGCCGUAAUCAGUCCAACUCACGUAAUCCCAAGAGAAAAUUACAGGGUCUGUUUGGAUUGUAAGUUAUUUGGGAUUAUUUGGGAUAUUUUUACUGUAGCACUUUUUGUGAUGUGAUGUAUGUGAGAUAAAAAGAUAUUGGGAAGAUAAAAAGGUGUAUUGAAAAUUGUAAAGAUGAUGUAAGCAAAUAAAAUUGGGGAAAUAUGAAGCAAUCCAAACAAAUCCUUCUGCUAUAAUGAAUUAAGGACCACUACACCCCUUUAAGUAAAAGUUGCAACUGUUAGAUGACAUACAUUUCAAGACUUUCCAGCAAGUCACUACACAAACUUUUUUAUCAACAUAAGUAGAUAAAGAGCGAAGAGCUCUGGUGACCUGGAUGGUUUUCGUCGACCUCUCGCGUGCGGCGCAUGUGAUUGAGAGCGUUAUGUUGUUCGCGCAUAGCACUUCGGUUUCCGAUCUGGUCUCCCAUGUGCCCGUGUUUCCUUGUUUCUGUACGUCUGCAGCAUUUGCUUUCUUCCCACUACCUUCUCUCUCUCCCUUUUUUGGACAACGUUGCUCUGUCGCUUGCCCAGCCAUAUCCUCCACUUGCAUCUUGUCUAUUUACUUUAGGGUUAGAUAUACAGAACAACAAAUGCUUCUCCGCCGCUUCUCCUCUCCGCCCCAUUCCUCACCAAAAUUAUACAAUCCGCCGCUUCUCCUCUCCGCCCCUUUUCUCACCAAAAUUAUACGACCAAAAUCUUCAGCAGCGGUGAGCCUCCUUGCUCUUAGCUUCUUUUCCUUUUUUUUUUUUCAAUUUGUAACUUCCUUAUUUUUUGUCGAUUUGCAGCUUCCUUAUUUUUGUCAGUUUGCAGCUUCGUUGGGUGAUGGCGAUUGGAGAAGCUGGUAUUGAAAUUCUCGGGAGUGUGUUGUGGGCAUCAUUUCUAGCUCAAAGUUUGAGAUUUUUGGUAGGCCUUUGCAUAGCUUUUGGGUUAGAAAAUCUUUUGUUUUAUCCCGUUUACUUCUCUUGGUCGAUUUCACCGAUCUUCAGGUGGCUUAUGGGUUUUUUUUAAGGAUUCGUUGUUUCCGUCGGGUGUGCGCUGAUGUUUUGAACCUUUGGUUUUUGUUUCCCCGAUCUGUGUUUUUUCUUGUUCCCUUUUUUUCUUUUUUUUUUAUUUCGUUUCUUCUUUUCAGCUGUGAAGAUGGAGAUAUUGAUUUUAUUGCCUUUCGCUUUUAUGUUUUGUUACUAAAUCUGGGUUUUUGGUUGUUCCUUUUUUUUUUUUCCUUUAGAGUCUUCGAUUUUUGGCUCACUAAUAAACAUGCCGCAGCUUUCCUCUUCUUCUUCUUCCCCGUACUGCACUAUUUUUUACAGACUCUUGUAGAUCGAUAGCUGAUUGUGAUUUGUGUGUGAAAUGUGCAGGUUAAGGAGAGAAAAGGUAAGAAGAAUCAGCAGCGAUGGCGGUGCCUUUGCUUUCGAAGAAGACAACGAAGAAAAGGGUUAACAAGUUCAAGCAACCCCAGAGUGACCGAAAAAUUUCCAUCAAGGUAUAUCACCGUGAUUCACUUGAAAAAAAUUGUCCUUUUUAGUUUUUUUAAUAUUUUAGGAAAUGCGCUAUAUAUAAGGCAUUUGCAAAUUGAUCUUUAUUUUCGUGUUCUGUUUGCGAAAUAGGAAAAUGAUUGUGGAAGCUUUAAAGAAAAUGAUCAGAAAUGUAAAGGAACUAACUUGGAAUCUUUGAUUAGGUUUAGAUUUUGUUUUGUGUUUUAUGAUUUUCUCAUGACUAUAACAGCUCUUGGAAUCGUCUUGCAAAAGUAGAAUUUGCUGUUCAUGGGAUUGACUAUGAAGGCCAUGCAAAGUCAUUGGUUUUGUUAAAGCUUCAAAACCUGUGGUAUUGUUGUUCCUUUGAAUUUUGAGUAAUUAUGGGCUUAAAUUUUAUAGCACUGGUUUUUCAUGGCUCUAUUUGAAAGCCACUUAAAACCCAUUAAAGAUGUCUGCUUUGCAGAACGUUGUUCAUGGGAUUAGUAUACAUUUGAAGUAUUUAUCAGGAUAUGAAAGAAUUCAUUUCUCUUUUGUAUGAGGUGUGCUUGAUUUUUAUAACUCCGUAUAUUUGUUGCUGCCUAUUCACUGAAAAAAGGAAAUAGAUGGUACCUUAGUUGUUCUAAGUAUGUCUUCAGCUAUGGUGAAUUAAAUGCUAUAGGUUUUCUCCUGUGACUUUUCCUUUCCUUUGUUUUUUCUUUGUUAUAUGUUCUCUUGCAUACUGUACUUUGUUGAUGUUGUUCUUGGCGUUUUAUGAUUUAGGUUAUUUUACUGAUUUUUCAUCCUGGCCUUGUGCAUUAGUCUUCGGAAUCUACGGUGGAGUACAAAACGUGAAUGCCCAUAGAAGCUACGAGUGUAGUUAUUAGCAUUAUUAAAGAUAAUGGAUUUGGAGUUUGGAGUAGUUGAGGAGAGCUUGAAGACUUUUUUUGGGUUAGCUGCAGAUAGAAUUUGGAAUCCUCGAUAGAAUUGUCUACAAAAAUAAGAAUCAGCAUCGAAGGUGCUCUUAUUUUCAGUACCUGCUUAAGGUUGGUUUUUUUUUUUUUUUGGCCUAAAGUUUCAGUUUUUACGUGCUCAGUGAAAAGCACUAACCUGUAUGCCUUCAAGCAUUUGCUUAUUGGGUUUGUUGGUUUAAAAUUAAUUGUGAUUUUGUGACAGGUUAGACGGGAUUUGAGGCUUCUGCAAUCAGCAAAGUUGGAGGAAAUCUUGAAUUCCUGCUUUCUGGUAAUCCAUGGCAAAGGGCCUAAACAAAAACUGUAGCUUUUGGAAAGGUAUAAACAUAAAGAAGGGCAUAUUUUCCAACAUUGUUGUUUACCAUAUGCUUUGAUUAGUGAUUCAUGCAUUUUUUUUUUGGAGGAAAUAGCAACAUUUCAUUGAGGUUUCAUCAGUAGAUCGCAAAGCCAUAAAUUCUUAAAGUUUUCUUAGUAAUUUGAUGGGGAGGCUUCGAAAAGUUAAAUUGGAAGUUGAAAGUUAAUAUCCAAGAAAAAUUGAUUAAAUGACCAGUCUGUGAAUGUAAUGUACAAUUAGCAAUGAUUAGAUUCUUACUUUCUGUCAAAUUGCACAUACCAAAACUUUUGGCCUUCCAUUUGGGUUUCAGUCUGAAGCGGAGAAGGUGUGAUGGUGGCAAAUAUAACUUUUUGGAAAAGCUUCUUGGAGUUGUACGUUUACUAUCAAAGGUAGUACAUUUGUUUGUGAUUUGUUGCUCACAGUUGUUUCUUUAAAUUGUUAUUCUAUCUUCAGUUUUCUACGCGUCUCAGUUGAGCGUAUGUUGCGAGGCAUGCCAUAAACUAUGAUCUUACAUCUGUGCUUUUAAAAAAUUUCCCAUUCUUUUGCUGUCCAAAUUAGUCCAAGUCAUUGUCCAUCAAAAUCUUUGGACCUUAGAGGAUUAAACUUGGUUGAUUUGAGUCUCUUCCAUUGUUCUUGUGCUAUCUUCCUGUAGUAGCAAAUAAUUAACAGAUCGCUGCUGCCUUCUUUCCUUACCGUUCUCUUUCAUCUACUUCUCUGGUAUCGUUGUCCACGAGAGAAAUAUAAUUAGCUGGAAUCUUCGUUCUUUCCCAAGGAAGUGUAUAUGCUCUUCCUCCUUACACCACAACCAGUGGGAGAGCUAGAGUAAGGAUGUGGUUAUUUUCAAUUUCUUAUGGGGCUUUUCAGCGAUUAGUUUCCUUUUGGUCUAUUUACAUCCAACAAGUACUAAUUUUCGAUGUAAGUGGUUGGGAAGCUACUCCCAGAUCCAAUUCUCGAUGUAAGCGGUUGGGGAAACUCCAUCAACCUUGAUAUAAAUUGCCAACCUUUUAAAUUCUUUUUUUUCCCAAUUGGAGAUCGACAGAUUCUUCUUUUCCGUUUUUCCUAUCAUCCUCUCCUCAUAUAUAGAAUUUUUCAUCUAUUUUCUCCAUCAUUUCCUUCUGCUAGAGACAUGUCUUUUGCAGUGAAAAAGCAGUCUUUUUUACACAUUAAUGAUGUUUAUUUUUGAGUAAAUUUAAGUCAUGACCUACAUUUUUUGCAUUUUUUGUACUUUUGGUUUCUUGAGGAUCUCAGGUUUUCUUACUUCAAUUUCUAUGGGUUCUGUGAAUAAUAUGUUGGUGUUAUGCUUUAAUAUUGUGGGUAGGGGGGAGGGUCUCAGCUUUUGUUAUUUAUGUGAUUUUAUUGUAGAAUUUUGUUUCUGCCAAGUUUAGGAUUGAUCUCAAGUUGGCUAUGGAGAUUUUUUCUUCCUUUCAAUUUUCAUGGAGUCUAAUGUAAAUUUGGAAUUUCAAAAUUUUCCUUUUACCUGGUCUAAUUUUCUAAUUACUAGGGGAUUUGACACAUAAAAUCAAGGCGGUGUUAGAUUUGUUCAUCUGUGUUUUUUCUUUGGUAUUGAUGUGAGAAAUUCGUUUCUGAAAGUGUAAAUUUUAAUUUCUUGAGUUGAUUUAUUUUGUGGAGUUUGAGGAGGAAAAAAUGUUUUUGAAAAGGCAUGCUUGUCUUAGUUGAAUUUGUUGAUUCCCUAUUGUGCUGAAUUGUGAUUGUUUUGAUUCGAAUUGUAGAUGAUGAUGGCCAAUUGUCAUGCUUCUUUAAUUACUAAACAUGACUUUGUUCUUAUGUGGAGCAGCAACUGUAGGCUGAUAUUGGUGAGACUGAAGCUGAUAAGGUUGAUGAGGCUGCCCUCAUUGGCAAUGAAAAGCAUGAAUCUAAGUGUAUAACAAGUUACUUUUAGAAUGUGUUUCUGUUUUAUCUGGUGCUUCUUUCUGGUGUCCAAGGUGGAGAUGAUGCCUCUUUCCGACAUCAUCUCUACCUUAGAAGUUGCUGAAUUAGUAUUUUCUCUGAAAUGUAUUUUUCCCAUGUUUUCCUUCAAAACAGAGGUGACCAAAGAAAAAACAUUACAUCUUUCCAUUACAUGUUUGUCUUAUCCUUUGGUUUCUCUUUUUUUCCUUUUUUUUGGGAUUUACCCUUGUCCUUUGUUUCUCGUGUUUUGUCCUUGUGUUUUGAUGAUAUGAGACUUCUUUGCACAUUUGUCUGCAAGUUUUUUGCUGCAAUGGCGCUUGAAUUGACUUGGUUGGUGAAAGUUUUUGUGUUACAUGUAUUUUAUAUCCCUAUGAUUUUGUUCUAUCCAUAUGUGAUACUUCUUUAUGUCUGUUUUCUUGACCUGAUUGCCAGUUUUGUUUUUCAGUAUUAUUCAUCUUCAUUUCAAUGGGAACUCACUGCUCUAAAUUAGGCUUUUGCUGGUAGCCUUCUAGCCUCAGAUCCAACAUCCCUUAUUCCUGUGAUCUUGGUAAUUCUUAAAACUCUGUUAAAUGUAUAAAAAUGUAAUAUUUGUUCCCUUUUUCUGAUUUUUUUCUUCUGGGAUUUUAGAGAAAUGUGGAGAAAAUGCGAGGAUGAAACUGCCAGCAUUUAAAGAAUGCAGUUUAGAUGAGCUAAAGAUGGCACCUUCAAGAUUCUCAAUUGAAAACAUUGUAUCAGAACAUGGAGAUAGAGCUCGCAAUGUUGUCUACAAAGGGCAGCUUGAAGAUGACGCCUCUUGGAUUGCUGUCAAACAUUUCAAUAAGUUAACCAUGAGUACGGUGGAUGUUAUUCAGAUUUAAGAUUUGUUGUAUGCAAUUUGUAGGUUGAUAAGCGAGGAAACUUAUUGCAGGCUGAUGUGAUUUGAGACAUUGAUUAUACGGUUGUUAUGCCAUUUGAAUUGUACCUUUGUUUACAAUCAAAUAGGAUGAAGUAUUUUGUUUCUACCAAAUGGGAUGAAGUCGCUUUCAUUUUUUUUCUUACUCACUUUGGCUUUUACUAUUUUGCAUUUUCUUGCGUACAGCCUUAUUAACUCUCCUCCUUCACUUUUUUUUUUUUUUCUAAUCUUGAAAAUGAUCUGAGAGCAUAGGAAGUAAAAUCUAAGCUCUAAUGAUGCAUAUUAAUGGACCUUGUAAUUAAAUCAUAAUGCAACCUACCCUUGAAAUAGCAAGUGCAGCUGAUAACUUAGACAAAGUUUUAUAAUAUUUUGGUUCUUUAAUGAGAGUAACACUGACUAUUUUUUACAUGAUUACAUACUUAGAUGAAAGUUGACUUUAAUUUUGGUUUAAUAUUUUAUUUUGAUUUAUUUGUAACUAAAUUCUAUCAAAAAACAAACAAAUUUCAUUAAUGAUCCAUUUGAAUUAGUACAAAUUAUUUUAUUAAAUUGGGCAUCUUCAUCCUUUUUCCCACCGUGCAUAGCACGGUUUAUGCCUCCUAGUGUAUUGAUUAAUUGCCAUGGAAAGUCACUUCAUACGUCACAUAAUGUCCAAAAGCAGCUCUAUCUCUCCACCAAACUUCAACGAUUGACUGCUAUCCAGUCAAUAUUAACUUUGCAAUGAACAUUUGCGUCCCACCAAAAAACGAAGCUACGAGAUUCCAGCUCCAAAUUUCAAAGUUAAAAUUAAUUAAUGGAAAAUGAACUUACAAUGCUGACAGCGUCGUCGACGUCAUCAAGACAGUAACGUCCGGCCUCCUCGUUAAACAGCAUUUUAUCACCGGAAUCGCAGCCAUUCCUUCACCUAUUAGAAAUAAUCAAAUAAUUAAACAAUUAUUAUAGCGCGAGAAAAUACUAGUAGUGGUAGAUUUUAAACACAAAAGGAAAAAUUAAGCAAUUAAUAACCUAAAGAGACGGCGUGGAACCAAACUAAAGGUCCGGCGGGCCGAGGAAGCGAGGGGCGGCCGAGACGCUCAGUCCACCGUUUCGGAUGCUCGAGACCUCGGAAUUUGCGCCACCGUAGGUGGAGGUUUAUCAUCGGCGAUAGACCGUAGGAAAAAGCUCGGUAGAUUUUGUAAAUUAGUUCACCUUUCCCCCUAGCCAUUUGACGCUACUGAAUCUACAGUACUAACUGUGGAAUGAAGCAGGCCCCGGUGAAUGCCUGAGCCGUGCCGUGUGGGGGGCUUUGGGCUUGACAAAGUUUG
rnacentral:lncRNA from 1 species